GGGAAAAAACUGGCCAAAAAGAACUUGGUCACCAGAACUAACCAAGACAAUAGUUAUUGUCUUGUGACCAAGUUCUUUUCUUUUGCAUCAAGUCACUUUUAUUGGUCAGUUUCAACUUACCAACAUGGGAAAAAAAAUAUAUUCUCAGAGAGGUUUAGGGUAUAGCGAACAGUUCGAAUUCCUUGACUCUGUGGGGCUAAUAAAAAAUUCGGCUGAGUAUUGCGAUAACCUGAUGACCCUUACACCAAAGAAAAGAACUUCUGAAGGCGUAAUGUGAUGUCAAACUUGUAGGCACCAUUGAAGUUUGAGAAAAGACUUUUUUUGUGGAUUCCUGCAUAUCACUGGCAUGGCUCCUAGUUUUAAUCUAUUACUGGGCUGAAAUGGAUUGUAAGCAAUCUAGUUCCAAGAGAAGUUGGGAUCGGAUGGGAAGCAAUAGUCAAUUGGUAUAACUACUUUCGGGACAUUUGUGCCACGUGGUGCAUUGAUAAUCCUGUCCAACUUGGUGGGCAGGAUGUCAUCAAGAUAGAUGAAUCAAAGUCUAUACAUCGCAAAUAUCACAGAGAUACUUAUAAGCUGGGCAACUGGGUUCAUGGAA